rnacentral:rRNA from 1 species
GACAGAGGAUGCAAGCGUUAUCCGGAAUGAUUGGGCGUAAAGCGUCUGUCGGUGGCUUUUUAAGUCUGCCGUCAAAUCCCAGGGCUUAACCCUGGACAGGCGGUGGAAACUACCAAGCUGGAGUACGGUAGGGGCAGGGGGAAUUUCCGGUGGAGCGGUGAAAUGCGUAGAGAUCGGAAAGAACACCAACGGCGAAAGCACUCUGCUGGGCCGACACUGACACUGAGAGACGAAAGCUAGGGGAGCGAAUGGG